CAACUACUCCCUCUGUCCCAAAUUUCUUGUCUUAGAUUUGUCUAGAUACGGAUGUAUCUAAUACUAAAAUGUGACUUGAUACAUCCGUAUCUAGACAAAUCUAAGACAAGAAUUUUGG
rnacentral:pre_miRNA from 1 species